ensembl:lncRNA
GUGCGUAAUAAGCAGUGAAUAAUGCAGAAAACAGAUUUUUGAAGGUAAACUGUUCUUGAAGUACACUGAGAGAGAGAGAGCUGUGCAGGAAGUAAACGUCAAAGUCAGAGAGAAUUCAUGAUGAUGUUCAUCAAACGUAAAGCGUAGUUUGGAUCUUCUUUUGCUGCUGGUUGGGUCAGUUUUGGUUGGAGACAGAUGAAACCUGCAGCUUCAGGAUCUGUGAGCUGUCCACUUUCAGCUCCGACGGCGUGUCCGUGUACAUGCUGUCGAGUGAACGAUCCACGCUCUGUGUUUCCAUCUUUGUGUGUUUAGCUGCUCUCAUUUACUGUUUUAUCUGUUUGGUUGUUGUUGAAAUACUUUUGGGAGCAUUAACCUGAGAUCCUGGCAAAAUACAUUAAUAUUAAAAAUCGAUUCAGGAUUGAAUGAAUCAACAUCGCUUUAUUCAAAUUAAAAAGAUUUAAAUAGGAGAAUCCAUUUUUUUACACCCGCCUCUAAUGCUGGGUAAUGUCAGCUGGUCCAUGGGUAGCUGGCUGUGAGGCUCAGGGAGCGUCUACAAAGUGCAACACUGAAAAAACGUCAUCCAUAAAUAUUGAGUAAUAACUGGACUCUCAUACAGCGGGACUCAAAUGCCUUUAAACAUCAGCUUAUCCUGCUGAUCCAAGUCCAACACUGAGUUUGCAAAAACAUGUUUGUCAAUCAUUUUGUUUGGUUUCUGAGGAAAAUGAUUUAAUAACUUGCUGCUAAUACACAACAUUUCAUCAUAUUUCCUCAUAACCCUCUUUUGUCUGACCAUUUGAAUCCCAUUUGAAUUUGCAAUAAAGGAUCCACAGAGUUUGGUACGGAGCCCCACAGGGGACAUGGGAGGAAAAAAAAAUUAAGACGGACUUUUGCAAGAUCUCACAAAACUAACUCGGGAUCUCGCAAAAGUUUUGCGAGAUCUCGCAAAAGUUUUAGCCGCAUUCUUCGGACGCCGGCUCGAAGCCGACCGGGAGGUCGAGGCACGAUGUGAUGGGAAAGCGGUGUUCCUCCUGGCUGUAGUAGGUCGAAGGCCGAAGAAUGCGGCUAAAACUUUUGCGAGAUCUCGCAAAAGUCCGUCUUAAUUUUUUUUUUUCUCCCAUGUUUUUUUUCUCCGUAGUUUGGUGACAAUAAUGACAGUAGAUGGUUGUGUGAAAUUGCUGGAAGCAAAUUAGUGUGUGAUGUUCUUUCAGUGUUGCACUUUGUAGACGGUC